rnacentral:rRNA from 1 species
CAGCCGCCACGGUAACACCGAGGGUGCGAGCGUUAAUCGGAUUUACUGGGCGUAAAGCGUGCGUAGGCGGCUAAUUGAGUCGGAUGUGAAAUCCCCGAGCUUAACUUGGGAAUUGCAUUCGAUACUGGUUAGCUAGAGUGUGGGAGAGGAUGGUAGAAUUCCAGGUGUAGCGGUGAAAUGCGUAGAGAUCUGGAGGAAUACCGAUGGCGAAGGCAGCCAUCUGGCCUAACACUGACGCUGAGGUACGAAAGCAUGGGGAGCAAACAGGAUUAGAUACCCCCGUAGUCCCUGUCUCUUAUAC